AACACGGCGAGCGAAUGAGCGAAUAUAUGAACGAGUUACUGAAAUCCCUCAUCUCAAAGCCUCGAACCCCCCCAAGAAACCAAUAACUAGUUAGUUAGGUAGGUAGGGUUUGAUUGUAAUGCCGAGAGGGAGUCACGUGAAGAAGGGGGAGGAGCUUAGCGAGGAGCAAAGGCGAGAAGGCGAGGGCAAGGAGACCCACGGGCCAGUGAGGAGACAAGCACCACUGCAGCAAGAGACAAGCUUGGGAGACGUGAGGAGAAGAGCACCACAAGCUUGGGAGACGUGAGGAGACGAACACCCCUACAGCAAGGAGCGGUAGCGAGAAAUCACAGAGAAGCGGGCUGGUCAGAGAGGUGUCCAUCUCUCCACUCAGCCCCCCCCCGACCCACACACCACCCACGGCCUGCUGUGUGAGGCGGGCUAGUCAGGAGACGAGCAGCAGGAAGCAAGAAAGGCAGCGAGUUGGAGUUGAGUGAGAGAGGUGUCCAUCUCUCCACUCAGCCCCCCGAAAAACCACCCACGGCCUGCUGUGUGAGACAGACUACAGGAUGGGAACUUGUAUGGCGGGGUAACCUGCCCCUCGACUGCCCGAGUGGCCGUCCUACCACUACCCUGGUGGCCGAUAUACCACUGCUCCAAGCUGCUUCCUACAUCACGACGGGCGCCCGCCUCUUCACACCACCCGAACUGCUCCCUCUCCACAUCAAGCGGCGCCCGUCUGUCCAUCACCAGGACCGCCCCUUUCCCAUCGUGGACGUCCCCUGCCGAGCCCGACGCUCACGCCAGCUCCUGCUUCUCCUCCAGCAACCAGAGCUAAGCAUUAUGUGUAUUCCCCAAAUCUCCCUUGUGCCGGUAGCUAGUUAGAUUAGAGGCAUACAGCCUGUCAGUCAUUCAUUUUUUAGUACUCCGCUAACCUUUGAAAAAAUGAAACUAAAUACAUAUUUAUAUACAACCUUACUGUGAGUGUUAUCAUUUGGAGCCUGUUUUGCUGCUCAUUUGAGAUUACUGAACCCUUACACACGCCCUUCCCCCAUAGUACAUUAUCACCAUCCAGUUUCUUAACGCUGUCUCACAAGUGGUUCACACGGAAAUCCUCCCACCUUCCAUAAUUAAUCACACAAGUAACGGUCACAAACCUCGGAACGAGUGUUCACUUGUCCUAAGGCCUUACCAUCCGGGACCAGCGCUCGGGAAUGUAGACGACUACCACGCUACCACAUACCAUCACAACCAUAGUGGUGGUCAAAAAGGUAUGUAGCGACACCCCCCACCCGCUACAUAAUAAUUUUAGGCACACUAAUGAUAUAGAUUUAUGAUGCUCAAAAUAAAAUAAAAUAAAAUGUGCUAGAGAUCGUAUUAAUAGUAGGCAAAUGAUUGAACGACGCCUAUCGUUUAUUUCAAACCCGCCGCGGUCCGCAGUUUAUUUAAGGCUUAAUAAAGACUUGUUCAUAAGGCUCGCGAUAAAAAAUAAUGCCGAUAAAUAGUUAAUUUUGUUAACAGUAGGCAAAUAAUCAAUAUAAGUUUGUUCCUAUUGCUCAAAAUAAUAAAUAUUAAUGGCAGAAGGAAUUGCUACCCCGUAAAAAGGGCGCAAACACAAGAGGCAAGGAGAAAGCUGUCGGACACACCCUCGCCACACUUCCCCUUCUGGCCAUGUGGUAGCGGGUCAUGGGGCCGCCUAACCUCCUCCUGCCGACCAUUUGUGUGGCCCUGCUGACCUUGGCGGGCCGCUGUGACCCUCUAGUGGCCGGGAAAAUACCUGCCAAUGACCCGAGGAAUUCAUGGCAGGGGCGAGGCUCGAAGGAGGUGCCGCUGGUGGCCUCCGUCAUCGGCGCCCUCGACAGGCUGGUGCACUACUACGAGAAGAACUACGAGCUGCUGAGUCUGGACGGCAUCUUCGGGGCCAAGGCCAUUGAGGGUCAGCUGAACCUGGUGGUGGCCAAGCACAACAAGGGGCUGCUGAGCGAUGCCGUCGACCGCCUCAUGAAGGAUGAUCUCUCCAGCAUGGCCACCAGAGCUGGUCGUGUGGUCAGGCUGGCCCUCCCACACCUCCACAAGACCCAGCCGGUGGCCAUGACCAGGCUGCGCAGAAUCUUUCAGCUCUCCUGGGACAUAGGACACCCACGCCGCCUCCUGGACACAUUGCUGCUGUGGGAUGACAAGACUCGGAAACGCGCUGCCCUACAGAGGCUGACAGACUCCGAGAUGGACAGGUGCCUCUCCGAGCUGCUGGAGCCGAUGGACGGGGUGAUGUGCGGCAUGAAGCAGGACUGCCAGGAGGCCAUGACGCAGCCCGGCAUGACCCACUACACCCUCACGCGCCAGAUCAAGUACUCCAUCGUGGCAGAGAUGAGUGGGUGCGGCAGCCGGCUGGAGCAGUGGCUGGUGCGGAACAAGCGGACGGGCAGCCUGGAGCAGCUUCAGGCGGAGAUGUGCGCCAACCUGUACAUGGAGGCUCGCACGCUGCCCUCCUUCGCGUGCAUAGACCCCAACCCUGCCCUCGUGUGGGACCUGUUCUUGGAGAUGGAGUUUGUGUGUGGGAUGUUGGGCUACACACAGUUCUUGCAGGAGCCUUGGCUGAGGAGCGUCCUAGCCUGGCAGCAGACCUCGGGAUGCUAUGCCACCAAGCCGCCAUCCUGGACAGCUGGAGCCAACCUCGCGGCCUUCCCUGGUGGUGGUGGGUCCGGGCUACCAGGUCUAGAGUUGCUCGGUGGGGAAUCUCCGCUCUCUGACGGCUGCCUUGCCCACCUGACAGGCGUUGCUGCAUCCUCAUUGGCCGUCCACCUGCACUCCCUCCUCUCCACUAGCCAAUCAGGGAUCUCUGUUGCCAUUGCCCACCCUGCCCCUAAUGCUCCGCUCUCCGUCCCCUCCGCCAAGAUCCUGCCGCCGCCACUGCCCAAUGAUUCUGCUGCACUGUUAGACCGCGGCGGGUAUGCUGUCAAUACGAUGCUCUUCAGGGGUGACGUACACUCUGGGCUCAACAGGAUUGCCGAGCAGGAGAAGUCCCUGGAGGACAAGGCCGACCUCCUGCUGCAGCGGCUGGAGGACGAGAAUCGUGCGGACAAGGAGCGGAGGAAAAAAGAGAAGAAGUUGAAGAAGAAAACCAAGAAGAAUGGAAAUAUAAGACUUGAAGAAACCGCCUACCAGAACAUGCCCCAAGCCGCUGGGGGUCACAGCCGCCACCUCGUCCUCCCAGAAAUGGCUGUUCCGCUGACCCUCCCAGCGGCUGGGGGCUCUGGGGGGGGCGUGGUGGUCUGGGGGUCAGUGCCAGGGUCAGCCGCCGCCCUGUCCACCACCACUACCCCCUCCCCGGCCCCUGUCUGCUUCCUGGCCCUCAGUGUUGUCCUGGUGGCGGUCGCUCUUGCCAGGUACAUCCACAGCCGCCGCCGCCGCUGCAACCUGGCCGCCCUCAAGGGGAAGUUUAGGCUGUGAAGGGAAGUCUUGUUGUGGUUAUUGUUGGUGGUGUGUUUGUUGCUGCCCUUGUCUCUGUAUUUCUCUUAUUUUUCCUUUAUUUUCUAGUUUUUUUGUACAUUUUGGGGUUAUUGCACUUUUCCUUUCAUUCAUUUGUUUGUUUCUUUAUUAUGUUUCUCUGGAAUUUUUUUUCUUGUGCAGGUUUUUGUAUGUAAGCUUUUUUAUAUUGUUUUCCUUUGCUUAUUUGUUUCUUUCCCACUUUCUUCAUCAUCAUGUUUCUCCCUUCUUUCUUUUCUCUCUUAGUUUUUAUUAUUUUGAUUCUUAUUACCUGUUUCUUACUUUCUUUGUUUGUUUAUUUAUCUACUUAAAGUUUAUAGAGAAUCGGAUAUUGUAUUUUCUCAGUCAGAUCUUGUAUUCACCUGUUUAUUUGCGUUGUCAAAACUCACCAACCCAUUAUCAUAAUUUUCUCUUUCAUGCUGACAAAUUACUCUCGAUUUAUUUUAUUAAUUCUUCUUCAGCUUUAUCAUCAUGAUUGCUUUAUCUCCUCAUUUGUUUUGUAUUAUCAUUGUUACUAUUAUUUUCUAACUUUCAUUAUAUCAAUUUACACUUUUCCUAUUGCUGAAACAACCGAUUCUGUGCCUUACCUGUGGGCUUGUGUGUGUGCGUGUUUGUUUGUUUGUUUACCUAGUUGUAUACAGAAUAUAAGUUAGUCUUGUCUGGCCCCAUAACGGAAAACAAGGAUGUUCAACAAGAAGAAGAAGAAAUUAUAUUAGUGUGUGUGUGUGUGUGUGUGUGUGUGUGUGUGUGUGUGUGUGUGUCAUUCCUUCACCCAUGGUAUGAUCACAUGUUAGACUCCUGAUCACCAACACAUAUCCUCCUAGUGUUGUGUAUGUAGCUGUCCCUUGCAUGGAGCUGUCCUCGCUUUGUUUAUAAACAAAAGGUGGGCCACUAUGUACUCGGUUGCGAUUACAUGGCUGUCCCUCGAGUGUUUUCAAGCACGGGAGGGCAUAGUGUUUUAUUCUUUCAUAGGAAAAGCAUUCAUGGAUCCAAUACAGCAUUCUGUUUUGUAAUGGGUGAAGGAAUGGGCCAUUAAAUAGCCUUUACGCAGCAAUUUAGGGUAAAUUUAAGGGAGUUAGCAUCUUGCAAAUUUCAAAACAAAACUAUCAUGAUGUGCAUAAGAUAAUUGUUUUGGUCAGUUUGCAUUCUUAUACAUGGGUGGUUCAGGUCCAUCUCCUGCCCACAGAACAUUUUUUAAUGAAACUGAAUGCCUCAUAUAUCAUAAAUUCAAAACUGCCACAUAAGGGUAAGUUCUUGUUUAAUGACAUUGUGCUUGGUUAAAGAUGAAACCAUUUUUUUCAUUAAAAUUAACACUGGGAGGUUAGUAACCCUCUCUUUUGGCUGCUUGUUAGGUUUGGUAGAUGUUGUCCAUUUAACAAAACAUAAUGUAAAGGGCCUAUUUCAUCCCUAAAUUUGGCCAGACUUUCCCGUAAUCUGCAGCCAUGUUAUCAGGGGACGCCUGUGAACAGCUUUGUUUAUCAACAUGUCUGCAUUCGCUUCUGAGCAUGAGCAGUUUGCUCGAGGACAGCCUCAUACAAGGGGACAACUACGAACACAACAUUGGAAGGAGUUUUGACCUCAGAGGACUGACCUAUGGGUAUUGCUGGUCCCUCCCUUCCCAUCCCCCAAGCUCGAGGGGGGACAGUAAUAGUUCCUGUCGGCAAAUAAAUACAACUUUCUGCCUGUGAAUUCCUACAUGCCACGUGACUUUGUGUGUGUGUGUGUGUGUGUGUGUGUGUGUGUGUGUGUGUGUGUGUGUUUGUGUGUUUACAAAGCCCAUGUAAAUUUGUGGCUGUGUAUGCUUUUUUAGCCAAGGUGCACAUAUCAACUCUUUACAUACAUACAUACAUACAUAUAUACAUGCAGGCAGACAUGUAUACAUAUUGUGCAUACAUACAUACACACAGACAGACAGACAGACAUACACACAAACAAAAAAUACACACAAAUACAUAUAUGCAUUCUAAUAUACAUAGAUACAAAAACUACAUACAUACAUAGCCUACAUACAUACAUACAUUCAUGAAUAUUCAGUACUUGACUGCCUUCACGAACCAUUUCCUAUUUUUCUAUCUUAUUUUUGGUGUUUUUAGCAGUACUCCCAAUAGUACCCUCAUUGUAGGCCGUCAUAUCAGCUUACUAUACAACUCCUAUUUUUUUAUAGUAGUAAUGAUAGUAAUAUAUUAACAUUUUAGCCAGUAAAGUAUUAAUAUAUUUCUUUAGUUAUGUAGUGUGCAUAUUCAUUUAUUUUGUCUCUUUAUAUAUAUUGGUUUUCUUAUUUUUUCUGUAUAUGUAUAUUUGAUUAUCUGUUUCUACCUAAUUUUCAUUUAUCUAUAUGCCUUUCUACCUAUAUAUAUGUUUCUGCCCAUCUAUCAAUCUAUCUAUCAAUUUUCCAAUUUAUAUAUAUUUUUUUAUCUCACAGUCUGUCUAUAUAUUUAUCUCUAUUUACUUUUUUGAAUCUCGUCAAUAAAUCUCGUUGGUAUGGUGAUAAUAAUAACAUGUAGUAAUGGCUAGAACAAUAAUGAUAACACUAAUGAUAACGUUAGUAGUGAUAGUGAUAUAAUUUUGUGUUUUUUCUCGUAGUUAUAUUUUUCUCUCCUUUUUUGAACAGCACAGUCUCUUCUUUUUCUCUCUUCCUUGUUUUCUGUUUUUCCUGGCAAGUGGUCCGGUGGGUGCUGAGGCAAAGGAACCAGAGGCUUUAAAGGGUGUAGGAUGGCUGAUAUUUUUUAUUUUUGUUGAUUUGUACUUAAAAUAUCUGUUAAUUUGAUUUCUGGGGUGCUUAAAUCCAUUCUGAGGUGCAUAAACAGUUCCUGAAAUGCAUAAUGUUAUACUUAAAUGGAUAAUACAGGUUGAGAAUCCUUUAUCAAACAGUUAAACUUGCAUUCUCUAGAAAGGCGAAGGGUGCGUGGAGACAUGAUCGAGGUUUAUAAAUGGAUGAAGGGCUUUAAUAAGGGAGACAUUCAUAAGGUUUUGUUGGUAAGAGAACCGGGUAGGACACGAAGUAACGGGUUUAAACUGGAUAAAUUCAGAUUCAACAGGGACAUAGGCAAAAAUUGGUUUACUAACACGAUGGUGGAUGAGUGGAAUGGGCUUAGCAGUCAUGUGGUGAGUGCCAAUACAAUUGUCACAUUCAAAAAUAGACUAGAUAAAUUCAUGGACAGCGAUAUUAGGUGGGGUUAGAUACACGGGAGCUUAGGGUCAAAGGAGCUGCCUCGUACAGGCCUACCGGCCUCUUGUAGACUCCUGCGUUCUUAUGUUCUUAUUCGAAAUUCCAAAAUCCGAAAGUGUUUUCAAUGCUGACAUGAUGCGUCACAAAUGGAAAAUUCCACAGUGAUGGGAAGGUUCCACCACGUACAGCUGUUGUGUGCUGCUCAGGGUUGCCUGGUCCGCAGCUUACUCGCCCAAUUGGGCGGGUAAACCUACUGCUGCGUUGACACCUUGGGCAUAAAAACACCUGCCUGCCACCACUGUGGGUUUUGGGCAGCUUUUAUGAUUGGGCGGGAACACAGUCCAUGACCUGGCAACUCUGGUGCUGCCAUGCAUUGGUUUGUUGUCAGCAGUCGUCACAGUAAUACCUUCUGUAGUUAAAAACUCGUGAUUACCACGUGUUGUGUGCUCUGUGGUAUAAAGAUAUUGCUGAAAAUGUCAAAAGGGCUUGCAUAUUCCAAAAUUCACAACACUCUUGGUCCCAGGUAUUUCAGAUACAGGAUUCUCAACUUGUACUAAGAUGCAUAUUACUAAUUGUUAAAAUUUAGUAAGUAAUAAUUUGACUGUUAUCUUAGUUUUAGCAAGAUAUGAAUGUUAACUGAUUUAAAAGUGAAUAAUUCUGUAUUUAAAUGGAUAACCAGUUCUUUGAUGAUAUAAUGUUACACCAGAAUGCAUAACUUUAAAGAAUAUGAAAAUGAAGACAACUUGAAAUUGCAUACAUGUUCUCUUGUUCUCCCAAGUGCAUACAUGUUCUGUUAUUCAAAGUGUAUACAUAUUCUGCUAUUCAGGGAGUAUACGUGUUGGCUACUUUUCAGAGUGCAUACAUUUUUUACAGCAAUGGAAGCAGACUGAAUUAAAAAAAAAAAAAAAAAAUCCAAAGAUAAAAAAAAGCCUGCAUGUUCUGUUAUUCUUCAAAAUAUGUAAAUGUUCGGUUGUUCUUCAAUGGAAAUUUCCACACUACAAGAUGGGUUACUUGACAUUAAAAAGUAUAUAUGAUGCUAUACAGGAAGACCCCAAUCAGUGCAAGGUCAAAUAGUUUGCUUCAUUAAAAGGAGUAUGAAAAGUUACCAAAUCUUUAAAACUGAAAACUAUUAUUCAUGUAUCACAGACCAUUAUUUUGUGCCCUUGAGCUGCUUCCCUUACUGCAAACAAAAAUGUAAACAGAUCUCAAACAGUUCAAAGCAGGGACUAAAACAAAUGAAUCUCUAUGAAAAUACUCAAUGCACAUUGGAGUCAAGAUCAAGUGGAACAGCCCAUAGGCAUAGGAGGUUCUUGAGGGAAGGAGGAGGGGUGGGGGGGGAUACACAAUAGAUACUCAGAUACUAGAGAUAGAUACUCAGAUAGAUACUCAGUCAGGUUGCAAAAGUUCAGACUAAAGUGUUGGAUGAGGUUAACCCAGUAGCUGCGGGGAUCAUGUUUCUAAAAGGUCCCUCUAAGUGAGAAAAAUGAGAAAAAAUCAUCACUCAAGCAAACAAUUUCAUAAUAUAUAUCAACGAAUUUGUGAUCAGUUUAUGUUAUCUAUUUUGGGGGGUUAUAUCAUGGCAAAAAUUUAGCCCGUCGCUGGUACACGGUAAAGCCACAAAUUUGGCUCGGCGCUGCUACCAGGUUAAAUUGAGUGGAGUGGAGUGACUCAAAACUUCAUCAAUUGUGUGUAUUGACAGGAACUAAAAACUCCCUCAAUUGUUUUCUGAUGAAGUGACAAAAAGCUUCAUAAAUCAUGUAUUGCAGUUAAAACUUCAUCGGUUGUUGUAUGUACUGAAAUGACAACAAAAUUUAUAUAUCGUGUAUUGAGAGAAACAAAACUUCAUCGAUUGUUGUAUGUAUUGAGAGUAACUAAAAACUUCAUCAGUUGUUGUAUGUAUUGAAGUGACAGAAAACUUCAUAAAUCAUGUAUUGAGAGGAACAAAACUUCAUCAAUUGUUGUAUGUAUUGAGAGUAACUAAAAACUUCAUCAGUUGUUGUAUGUAUUGAAGAGUGACUAAAACCUUCAUAAAUUGUGUAUUGAGAGGAACAAAACUUCAUCAAUUGUUGUAUGUAUUGACGAGCGAGUAAAAUCUUCAUAAAUCGUGUAUUGAGAGGAACAAAACUUCAUCAAUUGUUGUAUGUAUUGACGAGCGAGUAAAAUCUUCAUAAAUCGUGUAUUGAGAGGAACAAAACUUCAUCAAUUGUUGUAUGUAUUGACGAGCGAGUAAAAUCUUCAUAAAUCGUGUAUUGAGAGGAACAAAAUUUCCUCAGUCGAUUAAUAACGAAGAUUAAUAUAAAUGUAUUUAGCGCAUGAAUUAAUGGUAGGUAGAUGAAGGCUUUAUUUCAGCACCCAUAAUUUAAAUGCAUAGUGAAAUUAUGAGGUAGUGAAUGAUCUCAAAUUCUGUUAUGUUUUAACUUUGUACAGCAGGUGAAUUUUAAAAUGUAUAAUUUGCUAUAAGAGGAGUUGCUAAUGUUUAGAAAAGCAUGUGAACUGAAAGUUAGGUGUAUGUAUAUGUUGGUUUACAGGUGAACUAUUUAAUACUCUUAUUGGUAAUCUCAGUUUUCAUAAGGCAUGUUUUUUCCUAAUUUAAUCUUUGGUGUAUAAUUUUGUUUUGCAAUUGAUGAUUUUUAUGUUAAAUGUGUGUGUGUGUGUGUGUGUGUGUGUGUGUGUGUGUGUGUGUGUGUGUGCACUCAAACCUCAAUAUGCUAUAAAAAAAGUAUACAUGUGUGUGUGUAUAUCUGUCUAUGUGAGUGAUUUCUGUGUUUAGGAAAAAAAAAGCCAUCCAUGGCUUUAUGUAUGUAUGUAUGUAUGUGUGUAUGCAUAAUCACUGACUUUUUAUAUUCAUAUAGAUUUACAACUGUUCAUUGCACAUACAUGGAAAUUGUUACACUUGGUAUAUGCAUGUGUGUGUGUGGGUAUUAUGUAUGUUUGUUAUGCAUGUAUGUAUGUAUGUAUGUAUCAUCUGUAAGGAAAGAAGGAAGGAAAAAAUUGGGAACUUAGUAGCAGGGAAGAAGUUAGUGAUUAUGUUUACUUCUUUUAUUAUUUUGUAUUUAUUGUAUAUCCAUUGGAAGGUCUGGAAGGGGAAGGGGUGGUACAGGGGUUAAACAGGGAGGUCAUGAGUCAUUCUUCAUGGCAAGGGAAGGAAGAGGAGGUGACAGGGUAUGUGUGAUGGGCGAGGAAGGGGCUGCAGGAGGUGUUUCUAUUUGGCAGGGUAGGAUGAAGGGGACGAAGCAGUUUCUAGAUGGCAGGGUUUUGAGAAAGGAGUGUAAGAGAGGUAAGGGAAGGGAGGAAGGGGAUGGCAAGGUUAGGAGAAAGUGUAAGAGAGGUAAGGGAAGGGAUGAAGGGGAUAUGGCAGGGUAAAGAAAGGGAAAGCACUACUGAAGGCAUUUUUGUUUGGCAGGGGAAGAGGUCAAGAGGAAGGGGAGGAUAUGUUUUCUCGAUGGCAGGGUUAGUUGAAAGGGAGAUAGAAGAGGCAAGGGAAGGGAGGAAGGGAUUGACAGGGUAGGGGAAGGGGUGGAGGGGGGUGAAAAAAGCACUUAUAUAAAUAGUGCUUGACAGGGGAGUGUGAAGGAAAGAACGGAGGGCAGGGGAAUGUGUAGUUGACAGGGGCUUUUAAAUGGCAGGGUAGGGAGGGAGGGAAGUGACAGAGGGGCAGGUAAAGGAGGAAGGGAUGAAAAGGGUGCUAAAUUUUGACAAGGAAGGUUUAAGGGGAAGAGUAGGGGGCAGGGAGGCUUUUAAAUGGCAGGGUAAGGAGGUAGUGAGGUAACAGGGACAAGGAAGGGAGGAAGGGAUGAAAAAUGUGCUUAGAUAUGGCAGGGGAGAAUAGAUAGUAAAUGACAGGGGGAAGGGAUAGUCUGGCAGGGUAUAUGGCAGGGAGAACCGUUGUAAAUGAUAAGGAAAUGGGUGAUAUGGUGUUUGUGAUAGGCAGUGGAGGAGGGGAAGGCAGGGGCAUGUUACUAAUGGCAGGGGGGAAGGUUAGGUCAGGUGUGUGUGUUUACUUGGCAGGGGAAAGACAGGUGUAUGUGGUUGAUUGGCAGGGGAAAGAUAAGGUUAGGUGGGUGUGGUUGAUUGGCAGGGGAAAGGUAAACAUUGGUAUCCUUUCUGUCUUCCAUUACUGUUGUUGCUGUUAAUGUUUUCGUGGUUGUGGUUGUGAUGGUUAUGGUGGUGGUGGUAGUGGUUACUGUAAAGGAAUCAUGCUGUAAUAACUUGUGAUUCUUAAAGGCUGUGUUGUUUUC